AGUGAACGUUGGCGGCGUGGAUUAGGCAUGCAAGUCGAGCGAGAACCAUAGCAAUACGGGGACAGCGGCGAAAGGGACAGUAAUGUGUAGGUACCUACCUCCGGGUUCGGGAUAGCUGCGGGAAACUGCAGGUAAUACCGAAUAACGUCUCCGGACCAAAGGUGUGAUUCCACCUGGAGAGGGGCCUGCAUCCUAUUAGCUUGUUGGCGGGGUAACGGCCCACCAAGGCGACGAUGGGUAGCGGGUGUGAGAGCACGACCCGCGUCAUUGGGACUGAGACACUGCCCAGACACCUACGGGUGGCUGCAGUCGUGAAUCUUCGGCAAUGGGCGCAAGCCUGACCGAGCGACGCCGCGUGCGGGAUGAAGGCCUUCGGGUUGUAAACCGCUGUCGUAGAGGAGGAAAUGCAGGGGGGUUCUCCCCUCUGUUUGACCUAUUCUAGGAGGAAGUACGGGCUAAGUUCGUGCCAGCAGCCGCUGUAA
rnacentral:rRNA from 1 species